rnacentral:rRNA from 1 species
AUGAACGCUAGCGGCAGGCGACACAUGCAAGUCGAGGGGCUAGUAAGUGCUUGCAUUUAUGAGAUUAGCACGGGUGCGUAACGCGUAUACAAUACGCCUUGUUCAAAGGGAUAGCCCAGAGAAAUUUGGAUUAAUACCUUAUAGUAUUAUAAGAUGGCAGUAUUUAAUAAUUAAAGAUUUAUCGGAACAAGAUGAGUAUGCGUCGGAUUAGCUAGUUGGUAUGGUAACGGCAUACCAAGGCAAUGAUGGGUAGGGGUCCUGAGAGGGAGAUUUUCCACACUGGUACUGAGACACGGACCAGACUCCUACGGGAGGCAGCAGUCUGGAAUAUUGGACAAUGGGCGCAAGCCUGAUGGAGCCAUGCCGCGUGCAGGAAGACGGUCCUAUGGAUUGUAAACUGCUAAUAUACAGGAAGAAACACCUCUACGUGUAGAGACUUGACGGUACUGUAAGAAUAAGGAUCGGCUAACUCCGUGCCAGCCUCCGCGGUAAUACGGAGGAUCCAAGCGUUAUCCGGAAUCAUUGGGUUUAAAGGGUCCGUAGGCGGAUUUAUAAGUCAGUGGUGAAAUGGCCAGCUCAACUGGGAAACUGCCAUUGAUACUGUAGGUCUUGAAUUAUUAGGAAGUAACUAGAAUAUGUAGUGUAGCGGUGAAAUGCUUAGAUAUUACAUGGAAUACCAAUUGCGAAGGCAGGUUCAGACUAAUACAUUGACGCUGAUGGACGAAAGCGUGGGUAGCGAACAGGAUUAGAUACCCUGGUAGUCCACGCCGUAAACGAUGGACACUAGCUGUUCGGAGCAAUCUGAGUGGCUAAGCGAAAGUGAUAAGUAUCCCACCACUGGAGUACGAACGCAAGUUUGAAACUCAAAGGAAUUGACGGGGGCCCGCACAAGCGGUGGAGCAUGUGGCUUAAUUCGAUGAUACGCGAGGAACCUUACCAAGGCUUAAAUGUAGUUUGACCGGAUUGGAAACAGAUCUUUCGCAAGACAAAUUACAAGGUGCUGCAUGGCCGUCGUCAGCUCGUGCCGUGAGGUGUCAGGUUAAGUCCUAAGACGAGCGCAACCCCUGUUGUUAGUUGCCAGCGAGUCAAUCCGGGAACUCUAACGAGACUGCCAGUGCAAACUGUGAGGCGUGGGGAUGACGUCAAAUCAUCACGGCCCUUACGCCUUGGCCCACACACGUGCUACAAUGGACGGUACAGAGAGCACAACUAGGCGACUAGAUGCGAAUCUUCAAAACCGUUCUCAGUUCGGAUCGGAGUCUGCAACUCGACUCCGUGAAGCUGGUAUCGCUAGUAAUCGGAUAUCAGCCAUGAUCCGGUGAAUACGUUCCCGGGUUUUGUACACACCGCCCGUCAAGCGAUGGAAGCUGGGGGUGCCUGAAGUAUCUGACCGCAAGGAGCUGCCUAGGGUGGAACUGGUAACUAGGGCUAAGUCGUAACAACC